rnacentral:misc_RNA from 1 species
GAUGAAGAACGUAGCGAAAUGCGAUAAGUAAUGUGAAUUGCAGAAUUCAGUGAAUCAUCGAAUCUUUGAACGCACAUUGCGCCCGCCAGUAUUCUGGCGGGCAUGCCUGUCCGAGCGUCAUUUCAACCCUCGAACCCCUCCGGGGGGUCGGCGUUGGGGACCUCGGGAGCCCCUAAGACGGGAUCCCGGCCCCGAAAUACAGUGGCGGUCUCGCCGCAGCCUCUCCUGCGCAGUAGUUUGCACAACUCGCACCGGGAGCGCGGCGCGUCCACGUCCGUAAAACACCCAACUUCUGAAAUGUUGACCUCGGAUCAGGUAGGAAUACCCGCUGAACUUAAGCAUAUCAAUAAGCGGAGGGA